AUGGCAUCAGCAGCGCCAUUCUCCGGCACCGGCAGUCUCCUUCGCCUGACAAAACCAGGAACGCCACAGCCCCAGUUCUUCUCCCCUCCGCCGUCUCGCUCCCACUUCCACCUUCGAACCCGCCCCGCCAAGGCAAAGAGCCCAAUCGCCGGAGCCAUCGCCUCCUCUUCCAUGGCGGCAGCCCAGCCCCAGACGUGCGACGGCCAACAACAACGGGCGGAGGAGGCCAUGAAGCUGCUGUUCGUCGAGAUGGGCGUCGGGUACGACCAGCACGGACAGGACAUCACCUCCGCCGCGGUGCGCGCCUGCAAGGAUGCCAUCUCCUCCAACUCCAUCCCCGCCUUCCGCCGCGGGUCGAUACCAGGGGUGAACAGUGAACAGAUGAAACUGCAGAUCAAGCUGGGUGUCCCGAGGCCGGUGCAGCAUCUGUUGGACUUUGAGAGAAUCAAGGCCGUCUUCCCCUAUGGUGAGAUCACCAGCUGCGAGGUCGUUGACGGCGGGAUGAUCUGUUCAAGUGGAACAUGCAUCGAAGCAAUGGGAGAUAAAAACGAUGACUGCUACAUUGUCAAUGCUGCAGUCUACGUCGGUUACUAA
rnacentral:rRNA from 1 species